UACGUAGGGGGCAAGCGUUGUCCGGACUUACUGGGCGUAAAGCGCGUGCAGGCGGAUUGGUAUGUGCCGUGUGAAAGCUCCCGGCUUGCCUGGGAGAGGUCGCGGUAGACAGCCGAGCUGGAGGCUCGGAGAGGUUCGUGGAAUUCCCGGUGUAGUGGUGAAAUGCGUAGAUAUCGGGAGGAACACCAGUGGCGCAAGCGGCGAACUGGCCGAGACCUGACGCUGAGACGCGACGGCGUGGGGAGCAAACCGG
rnacentral:rRNA from 1 species